ACAGCCAGGUAAAUGUUUUAUGUUUGAUUGUUUUAAUUUUUAUAAUUUGAUUGUUCGUAUUAAUUUUUGUUGUAUAUAGUUCAUUAUACAUAGUACAUACUUAUCUCAUUAAAAUUAUUUGUGACAGGUCACCUUAUUGGCAAGAAAUGGUUGAUGCCCUUACCAUUUGUGGGGCGGGGUUCAAAGCCCCUUCUGAGUUUGAUUUGAGGGGACCCAUUUUGACUGAAUUGGUGAAUGAUGUGAAGAAAGAAUUGGGUGAUCAACGCCAAAUAUGGAGCACUAAAGGUUGCACCAUCAUGACUGAUGGUUGGACAGACAGGAGAAAUAGAACUCUCCUUAAUUUUCUUGUUUCUUCCGCAGGGGGCACCGUUUUCAUCAAGUCUAUUGAUGCCUCCGCCCAUUGCAAGAAUGCCACCUACCUAUGUGAGCAGAUAGAGGAGGUGAUUAAUGAGGUGGGUGAAGAGAACGUGGUACAGGUGGUGACUGACAAUGCACCAAAUUAUGUUGCUGCAGGCAGACUAUUGAUGGAGAGGCGCCCAUCUAUAGUUUGGACUCCAUGUGUCGCCCAUUGCAUUGACCUCAUGUUAGAGGAUAUUGGAAAACUUCCAUGGGUCAAGACAUGUGUAGAAAAGGCAAGAAAUGUGUGCAAAUUUGUAUAUAAUCAUUCAUGGGUGUUGGCUCUUAUGAGACAAUACACAGAGCAUAAGGAGUUAGCUCGUCCAGGAAUCACAAGAUUUGCCACAAACUUCAUCACAUUGCAGUCCAUGCUUCGUUGUAAGAUGGCCUUGAGACGUAUGAUUGUUGGUGAGGAGUGGUCUUCCUCAUCCUAUGCUGCCACCCCAGCAGGGAAAGAUAUGGCAAACUGCAUUUUUGAUGAGCGAGGCUUUUGGAGCCCUUGUGAUGAGAUAGUGAAGGUUAUUUUUUUAUAAAUUCUACAAUUUUUAUUUAACUUUUUGUUUUAUAACUUAUUCAUCAUAUUCUCUUAUUUGCUCAUGUUUUAAAUUACACAAUAUUUUCAAUUUUACAAUUUGUUAAGCCCUUGGUGGUUUUGUUGCGAGUUGCGGAUGGAGAAAAGCCCGCAAUGGGCUACAUAUAUGAGGGCAUGGAUAGGGCGAAAGAGGGCAUCAAAUCUAUCUAUGCAGGAGAUGAGAGCAAGUAUGGUCCCAUUUGGCAGAUCAUUGAUAAGAGAUGGCAUCAUCAGCUUCAUGGGCCCAUCCAUGCAGCAGCCUAUUAUUUGAAUCCGGCAUUCCAUUUUAGCCCUACUUUCAGGGCUGAUGCGGAGGUCCUUGAUGGGCUAUACUCAGUCAUGGAGAAGAUGGCACCUGUUGGUUGUACUCAGACAGAUCUUAUGCGAGAGCUACAGUUGUUCUCAAAUGCACAAGGGGAGACCUUUUCUCGUCCUAUCGCCAAAGAAAGUAGGACAACUAUGAUGCCAGAUAAUUGGUGGAGCUUUUUUGGCCCAACGACACCAAAUCUUCAGAAGUUGGCCAUUCGCAUC